rnacentral:rRNA from 1 species
UACGUAGGGUGCAAGCGUUAAUCGGAAUUACUGGGCGUAAAGCGCGUGUAGGCGGUCCGGUAAGUCCGCUGUGAAAGUCGGGGGCUCAACCCUCGAAUGCCGGUGGAUACUGUCAGACUAGAGUACGGAAGAGGCGAGUGGAAUUCCUGGUGUAGCGGUGAAAUGCGCAGAUAUCAGGAGGAACACCCAUUGCGAAGGCAGCUCGCUGGGACGUUACUGACGCUGAGACGCGAAAGCGUGGGGAGCAAACAGG